UACGGAGGGUGCGAGCGUUGUCCGGAAUCACUGGGCGUAAAGGGCGCGUAGGCGGUGCGGGGAGUCAACGGUGAAAGCUCGGCGCUCAACGCCGAGUCGGCCGUCGAUACUCCCGUGCUCGAGCACUGUAGAGGCAGGUGGAAUUCCGGGUGUAGCGGUGGAAUGCGUAGAGAUCCGGAAGAACACCGGUGGCGAAGGCGGCCUGCUGGGCAGUAGCUGACGCUGAGGCGCGACAGCGUGGGGAGCAAACAGG
rnacentral:rRNA from 1 species